GAUGAAGAACGCAGCGAAAUGCGAUACGUAGUGUGAAUUGCAGGUUUACGUGAAUCAUCGAAUCUUUGAACGCAAAUUGCACUUUCCAGUAUUCUGGGAAGUAUGCCUGGUUGAGGGUCGUUAAAAUAACAAUCGUAAAAUUUUUUUACGGAUUUGGGUAUUCCGGCGUUUUUUAAAUGCUGGUAACUUUAAAAUGAUCUUUUUUGGUUUAAGUUAAAACGUUCUAUAAUUACAUGGUUCGUUGAAAACUUACCUAAUAUAUUAUAUAUUAUGUUUACACUUGUCACUUUAAUCGAUUUGUGCAAGCAUAUAUUUUUUUUAUGACCUCAACUCAAGCAAGAUUACCCGCUGAACUUAAGCAUAUCAAUAAGCGGAGGA
rnacentral:misc_RNA from 1 species